CCUUGAUCUCUCUAAAUUGGAUCUUUCAUUUGUGGAUUUCAGCUUUGCCUGUCUCAAAAACGUACUUUUCUCACGUGCAAAUCUUCGGUGUGCAAAAUUUCGGGAUGUGGAUGCUGUGGGUUCGAAUUUUCACAAUGCAACUUUGCGCAAGUAAGAUCCUCAGAAUUAUUUAUCCUUUUUGGAGAGUGCAUUUUCUUGUGAACUUUGUUUGCAACGGGUUUUAUUUUUGCCUAGGGAAGGUGUGAAUUUAACGGGGCGAAUCUUCAGAGUGCAAAUCUUCAAGGCAAAUACUUGCCAUCUUUCUAUAGAUAGUAGAUUUCUUACUAAAAGUCUAUAUUCUUGAAGUACCGAUGUCCAAUACCUAUGUUAGACACAUGUCUGGAUAUAGAUAUAGAGAUAUGGUCCUAUAAAGACUCUUCAAAUACAUGGAACUCCUGAAACAGAAAAAUUGAGCAUAUCCAUAUCGGACAUUCACACCAGUGCCCAAGUAACUUAGCUAAAUGCCUCUUUUUACUGUUAAGGUUUAAAUAUUGAUGUAUCAUCAUCAAUUACAUUGUUGCAGAUGCUUCUUUGAUAGAUUGUAGCUUCUGCGGGGCUGAUCUUCGUUGUGCACACUUACAGUGGAUUCACUAAAUUAAAAUCAACAAGCAAAGAGUGCUGAUCUUACUGAUGCCAACUUAGAGGGAGCUAAUCUUGAAGGAGCCAAUUUGAAGGUAAGAGACCCUUAAGCACGGCGUUUACAAGUCAAUUGCUUUAGCACAUGUAUUAUUUUAUUUAUGUGAAGUUAUCAUUAGGCACCCAAACAGAAAAUACUAGGGUUCAAUAACUUAAUUUGAUAUGUGCGAUAACUUAUCCUGGUAACUCUAGCAAGCUCGAUAUUAUUGAUAAACAUUCGAAUGAAUUGUUUUGACCCAACAUGUUUAUUGUGAUUAAGUUCAUUGUAAUGAACAUAGUCUUCAGGGUGCGAAAUUAAGCAAUGCGAAUUUGAAGGGUGCAAACCUCCGAAGGACUUAUUUACAUCAUGUUAAUCUUUGUGAUACGGUAAGUAUAUGAAGUUUUUUUAGUGUGCAAUUAUCUAAAAACUUUCACACAACAUCAUGGAUGCUUGUUAUCUAAAACUUCUGGAUUGCAUGCAUCAUUGAUGCAGAUCAAGUCAAAAGAUUUACCAGUCUUUAUACUUUUUUCAGAUACCUUACCGGAAUUCGUUACAUAAUUUUUGUUUGUAUUUUUUCUCGUUUUGAUUUAUCAGCACUUAGAAGGUGCAAAGCUCGAUGGAGCCAACUUGCUUGGAGCAAUCAGGUAAUGGUGGGGCAAAGACUGUUAAAUGGAAUUGCACGUGUGACAUGAGUAUGAUUAAGAUUAAGAUUAUUUUAUGUGUUUUUUAACGUAUGUGAAGAGGUCAUAUUUUUAUAUCUAUACUCAUGUUGUGAAUACUUGAAGAAAAAUAAGAGUAAAAAAAGGAUGAAGUUGUCUAUA